GUGUGAGGGUCGGGGCGCUGCCUAAAGCUUGUGAAUAAUCGUGGUUUUAUCGGCGUGUUAGUACUCCGCUAGCUUACGGUUAAUUAUCUGCUUUCGCCGGAGAGUCUCCUCCUCGCUCUACGGGCUUCAGAAAGCCGCUCAAGUUCUGAGCGGCUUUCUGAGGCGUUUAGAGCGAGGCGCGGCUGCCGCGCAUGCGCUUUGUGAGGUAAAAAAAAAUGUAGAGAGAGGAGAAGGAAAAAAUCCUGUCAGAGAGACGACGAAAAUCAGUUUGGGCGUUCGGGAGAUGGGAGGCGCCCGGCGAGGAAUCUCAGGGUAUCCUGUGCUUGCAGUUUUGGGUUUGAAGAUGUGUAUUACACAAUACAGCAACCAUACCUUUCUCUGAACAUGUGCCUAUCUUAACAGGAUAGCUGGAAAUCAACCUAUUCAGUGGUGAGAUGCUGUAGUGGCUACGAGCUCUUGUCAAAAAUCUAGCUCAAGGGUGGGGAAACUUGGACCCAUAGAGGACCUGAUCCCUGCUGGCUUAUUUCUGACAAGCAAUUAGAGAUAAGGAGUUUCCCCUCCUCCUUUCCAUACUAUACUGAAGCUUUUUAAAAGUCUCAGUUGGACCAAUGGAGGCUUAUAAAAAGCCUGAUUUCAGGCAGUUGCUUUGGGGGCCCACACUAGCUCUGGGGUGGUCCCACUCACUUUGGGUGCAGCCCCAUUCACUGCUGGUGAAUGGUUUUAAACCCCAACAUGCGUUCUCAGCCAAUUAGUCCCUUGGGCCCCAAAAAAAUCUCCACCCUAGUAGCAAUCAACACAUAAAUAACUCAAGUGGAUGAAUCAGGUAUUUGAUAAAGUUACUUUAAAUAAAUCCAUGGAUACAACUGAGUGCAGUUUAAGUAACUGAAUUUUCUGCUUAUUCUACUUGGAGCUGUAAAGGCAGUUAAAGAGUCCUUUAACUGCUGUUGAAUAAUUUGUGGAAAUGGUCUCCAAUUUAUUGGCUUACUAUGUAUGUAUAUUCCUUUAUGCUGAGGCUUUGAUAUAUUAAAAUACUAAUGAAAUACUU